CCUACGGGGGGCAGCAGUGGGGGAUAUUGCACAAUGGGGGAAACCCUGAUGCAGCGACGCCGCGUGGGCGAAGAAGUAUUUCGGUAUGUAACGCCCUAUCAGCAGGGAAGAAGAAAUGACGGUACCUGAGUAGAAGCACCGGCUAAAUACGUGCCAGCACCCGCGGUAAUACGUCUGGGGCAAGCGUUAUCCGGAUUUACUUGGUGUAAAGGGAGAGCAGGCGGCACGGCAAGCCUGAUGUGAAAGCCCGCGGGCAAACCGCGGGAGUGCAUUGGUUACUACCGGGCUGGAGUGCCGGAGAGGUAAGCGGAAUUCCUAGUGUAGCGGUGAAAUGCGUAGAUAUUAGGAGGAACACCAGUGGCGAAGGCGGCCUACUGGACGGUGACUGACGCUGAGGCUCGAAAGCGUGGGGAGCAAACAGGAUUAGAUACCCUGGUAGUC
rnacentral:rRNA from 1 species